rnacentral:tRNA from 1 species
CUCAGUGGUUCAGUGGUAGAACACUUGCUUAGUGUGAAUGAAGCCCUGAGUUCAAUCCCCAGGACA